rnacentral:rRNA from 1 species
UACGUAGGGGGCAAGCGUUGUCCGGAUUUAUUGGGCGUAAAGAGCGUGUAGGUGGCCAGAUAGGUCCGUUGUGAAAACUCGAGGCUCAACCUCGAGACGCCGAUGGAAACCAUCUGGCUAGAGUCCGGAAGAGGAGAGUGGAAUUCCCGGUGUAGCGGUGAAAUGCGCAGAUAUCGGGAAGAACACCCGUGGCUAAGGCGGCUCUCUAGUACGGUACUGACGCUGAGACGCGAAAGCGUGGGGAGCGAACAGG